rnacentral:lncRNA from 1 species
AUGACUUCAACGUUCAAUCGCGUCUGCCGGCCAUCCCGCCUCCCGCCCUUACCGCUCAGUCUUCGCCAACCAAAAACAACCGUCCCAAAGCUCAGGUCCUCUCCAGGGACUUCUGCCUGGUUCCUGGCCCAUUCCUUCCAAGCAGGGAGCAGAAAAACCAGUUUCCCUCGUCUUCUCCCUUCCCAGGAGCGGUUAAGCGUAAUGGGCCGGAGGCGGCUGUCCCGGCAGCAGUCAGACGGCCUCCAGCCCCUCGCGGAAGGGAACCUGAGAAGGGGCUGGGGGACUCUCGCCGAGCUCGGUCUCCCCGGACUCUCGGGCCGAGAGAGCCGCAAAGGCGUCUCAGCACUGCCGGGACGGGGCGCGGUGGAGGGAGCCGGGCCGCUUGGGGAUUUUCCUCCAGCGCCUCUUGUCCCAGCGGCAGAGCAGCAGCAGGCGGAAGGUGUCGCGGAAGGCCUUGUUGCAGAGCGCGUAGCACAUGGGGUUGACGGUGCUGUUGACGUAGCAGAGCCAGUAGCCCAGCUCCCAGAGCCGGUUGGGGACGCAGUUCUUGCAGAAGGUGGACACGAGCACCAUGAUGUUGUAGGGGGUCCAGGUGAGGAUGAAGGCCAGCAGGAUGGCGCUCAGGGUCUUGGCUGCCUUCUUCUCUUUGACGAGCGAGAAGGUUUUCCGCUUGGUCAGCUGCCCCUUCCCUUUCCUCUUGGGCGCCUUGGGGGCCCGCCCCUUCCUGGGGGGGCGCUUGGCGGUCUGGGGGGGGCUCCGGGGAGGCGGACACGAGGCGGGGGGCUGGGGGGCCGAGCCCACCAUGGGCAUCUUGAUGGCCACCGGCAAGCCCGGCUCCUCGCCCUCGGAGGAGGUCAGGGACUCCGGGGAGCCGUCGUCCUCGUCGUCGUCCUCCUCCUCCUCCUCCUCCUUCCAGCUGUAGGAGGGCAGGGCCACGGGGCCCCAGCAGCUGCCGCCACCACUCCCCCCAGCUCCCCCGGCGCCCCCAGCCCCGCCACCCCCGCAGCAGCAGCAGCAGCAGCGACGGCAGCGGGGCCCGGGCCGGGGCUCGGGGCCGGCCUGGGCCGCCGGCGCCGGCUGGGACCGCUCGGAGCUGCUGCUGCUCCCCCCGCCCUUGCCCGCGGUCUCCGAGCCCUGGAGGGCGGCCAGCUCCCGGGCCCGGUUCUCCGUCUCCCGGUAGAUGCGCCAAUAGAGGGCACACAUGACGGUGACGGGCAGGUAGAAGGCCGCCAUGGCGGUGCCGAAGGUGAUGACGGGCUCCGACAGGAACUGGAUGUAGCAGUCCCCCGGCUUCACCGUCCGCUCCCCGACCAGGUACUGCCAGAAGAGGAUGGCCGGGGCCCAGAGGACGAAGGACACCAGCCAGGCCAGGCCGAUCAUCAGGGCCGCCCGGCGCGGCGUCCGCUUGGCCCGGUAGCUCAGGGGCCGGGUCACGGAGAAGUAGCGGUCGAAGCUGAUGAGCAGCAGGUUCAUGACGGAGGCGUUGCUGGCCACGUAGUCCAGGGCCAGCCAGAGGUCGCAGGCCAGCGUGCCCAGGGCCCAACGGCCCAUGAUCACGUAAGUGGUGUACAGGUUCAUGGACACGGCGCCGAUGAUCAGGUCGGCGCAGGCCAGGCUCAGCAGGAAGUAGUUGUUGACCGUCUUCAGCUCCGCGUUCACCUUGAAGGACACCAGCACCAGGAGGUUGCCGGUCACGGUGGCCAGGGACAGCAGGCCGGUGGUCAGGGCGAUCAGAGCCACCUGCCAGGGCCCUUUGCCGUCCUCGGGGAGAGCGGUGCCGUUGGGGCCGACAGGCGGGGAGGCGGAGAUGUUCAUGGUGGGGGAGGGGCCGGCACCCCCUUCACCCUUUUUUCCUUUCCCCCAUCCCAACCCACGCUCCCCUGCAGGCCUUGCCAGCCUGUGGCUCCAACCGCCUCCGGCUCCUUAGUCGGUCGCCCCCCGGUUUCUGCUCGGUCUUUCCAGAAGGAACUGUCCGCCGG